CGGCCGCGCCCCGGGCGGGGCGGGGGCACGGGGGUUGGAGGGCAAGUCUGGUGCCAGCAGCCGCGGUAAUUCCAGCUCCAAUAGCGUAUAUUAAAGUUGUUGCAGUUAAAAAGCUCGUAGUUGAAUUUCGGGAUCAAUAUUUCGGUCAUGCCGUUGGUAUGCACUGUUAUCAUUGAUUUCUCACCUUCUAAAGAACCGUAAUGCCAUUAAUUUGGUGUUACGGGGAAUUAGGACUGUUACCUUGAAAAAAUUAGAGUGUUUAAAGCAGGCUCACGCUUGAAUACAUUAGCAUGGAAUAAUGAAAUAGGACAUCCGAUUCUAUUUUGUUGGUUUCUAGGAUCGAUGUAAUGAUUAAUAGGGAUGGUUGGGGGCAUUAGUAUUCAAUUGUCAGAGGUGAAAUUCUUGGAUUUAUUGAAGACUAACUACUGCGAAAGCAUUUGCCAAGGAUGUUUUCAUUAAUCAAGAACGAAAGUUAGGGGAUCGAAGACGAUCAGAUACCGUCGUAGUCUUAACCAUAAACUAUGCCGACUAGGGAUCGGAUGAUGUA
rnacentral:rRNA from 1 species